rnacentral:misc_RNA from 1 species
AACGCACAUUGCGCCCAUUGGUAUUCCGAUGGGCAUGCCUGUUCGAGCGUCAUUAUCCUCUCUCCAACCUUUGGGUUGGGUGUUGGACCGAGUUGCGGGACCUCCGCAACUGGUCUCAAAGACAAUGACGGCGUCCGUGGGGACCCUCUUCGCAACGAGUCUUUCGAGGCACGCGGGGAGUCGCAAGGUCACUGCGGGCCGGUCUUACCUCUAUUUUUCUCAGGUUGACCUCGGAUCAGGUAGGAAUACCCGCUGAACUUAA